rnacentral:rRNA from 1 species
UACGAGAGGCCCAAACGUUAUUCGGAAUUACUGGGCUUAAAGAGUUCGUAGGCGGCAUUGCAAGUAGGGUGUGAAAGCCCUCGGCUCAACCGAGGAAUUGCGCUCUAAACUGCAGUGCUUGAGGACCUAGAGGUGAGCAGAACAGAUGGUGGAGCGGUGAAAUGCGUUGAUAUCAUCUGGAAUACCGGAGGCGAAGGCGGCUCAUUGGGAGUUUUCUGACGCUGAGGAACGAAAGCCAGGGUAGCGAACGGG